CUCUCAAUCCGCCGCUGCUUCUUCUACUGCUUCUCUUCUUCGUAAAAAAACUGAGAUUCAUCAAUGAAAUCCGUCAAAAACAUCAUCUUUUCUCUAUUCUCUUAAUGAACACUAACUGAAAACGAAGAUUCACCAACAAAAUCCAUCAACAACAUCAUUUUGUUCUGAAUCGAUGAAGAACAGUCGAUGAGGAUCAUCAACAAUAGUCAGAUUACGUCUCUUCCCUUGUAUGCUGUUGGCAAGGGAAACCCUAGUUUUGUUUCAGUUUUAGAUUGAUGCUGGUGGUAAUUUGAAUUUUAGGGGUUUAUCAAAUGGGAAUUUCAGGGGUUUAUCAAGCUUGAAGAAACCCUUAUCUAAAAUUUCAGUGAUUUAGUUUUCCGAAUCAUUUAGAUUUGAUUUCAGUUCUUAUUGAUUUGAUCUUUUCAUUGUUGAUUCUGUGUAGAAAAAAGGGGUAGAGAUAUGAUGAAGAUGGAAAUCAAUGGAAAGAAAGAGAAGUUGGAUCUGUGCUAAUCAUCUAGGUUUGUUGGUUUUUGGAUUGAUUUUCGUUUUAUUUGAUAUGUUGAUUGAUCUGUGAGAUUUAAUUUAAGUGGGUGUGGAGUGGGCUGUGAGAUGGGGUUUUCGACAGAUUUGCAUCAGGUCUGACUCCUUUGGUGCUGUUGAGGCUUUUAAGAAUGAUAAUUUACCUUGGUUUGCUAGACAGAGGUGGGCGGCAGUGAGUAGACAUUAUGAUACUAUAAGCUUUAUUCAUACUUAUAGGGAGGCGAAUUUUUCUGCUGAUGCUAUGGCCAAAAGAGGAUGUUCUCUUAGUAAUGAGAUAGGUGUUGGAUAAUAUCUACAACUUCACAAAGAAUGGUUUAACUUCAUCAUAGAGUUCAACUGCAUCAUGGGCUCACAACUUGUUCCUCAGCAUGUCAACCACCAUUUCCAGUUCGAUCCCUCUCAGACUUCUCAGAGAAUCUAUGGUGGCAGUUCGGAUCCAAUCAAUGCUGCAGGUUACUUCAUCCGCUCCAACCGUAAAUGGAAUUUCCUUGUCGGGAAUUGAAUUUGUUGUUUGCUAUCAGGUUACUCCAUCCUCAUUAAAAGCAAGUCUCACUUUAGAUACCAAAGAUAUCAAUCAACGCUGUGAUCUGCUUCAAAACUUCUUCUUCGGAUACAGCAGCAACAAGAAAAUUCUGUCUACACAAGGCCCUCCUCGAUUACGUUCUGCUGUCUUCCUUAUCAACUUUUCUCCUUCAGUCAUGCUGUAUGUUUUGGAAAAUCAUACUUUCAUGGCCCGAUGUUCGUACAAACAAAAUGUAUGUUUGGGAUAUCUCUUCAUUGCAUGGAUGUUAAUUUUCCCCUGCUCCCUUAAAGAGAUUUCAUGUUCAUAAGCACAUGGUUACAGGUCAAGAAAGGAAAGUUUCGUGUUUGUUCUCUCAACUUGUACUUAUAUAAUGUUUUCUGUCAUAUGUUAUCUCGGUAGGUGUCCUUAUAUUGAACAUUUAUGAAAUAUUUCUAACUUUUUCCGUUCGUUAUACAGUAAAAAUUCAUUGCAGCAGCAGAGCUCAUCUCAUGUAGCUGAGGUGUUUGUUCUGAUUUUGUGUUAAACUCGUGCCUUUUGUACGUUGUCGUCAGCAUAUUAAAAACGUGAUCACUGAAGCACCUUGUCUAACUUCCAAACUGAAUACACAGGUGUCCAUGCAACACCCAGGUGAGAAGAGGCAUUUUAGUCUUUCACAACAGAGCAAAACUAUCUAAAAGGGUGUGAUUCCAAGCAUCUCCAGAAUAAGUUCGAUACCUUUAUGGAUGCUGUAACUCUCUUCCAGAUGGUCUUCGUGAGGGUCACUGAUGUCAUGGUUGAUGGUAAGAUCGCCGUUGCUGCUGGAUAAGGAAAUGUUAAGGUUGUGCUUCUGCAGUUCUGCUCUCAAGCAAGCUGGUGCCAAGGUCAUAAUGACUGAAAUUGUUGUUGAAAUUUUUAGGAAUUGUAUCACUUCUCUUUUUAGGACUUGCAUCACUUCUCUUUUUAGGACUUGUAUAACUUUCCAAUAACAUGGAUUCCAAGUUCAUUUGAUUUUGUAAAUUUCCAACUGUUACUUGGGAUUCUCA